rnacentral:tRNA from 1 species
GCUUUCGUAGCGCAGUUGGUAGCGCAACGCAUUCGUAAUGCGUGGGUCGCCGGUUCGAGUCCGGCCGAAAGCUCGA